rnacentral:misc_RNA from 1 species
GCUUGUUAUCUGGCUACCCACCCACAAACCCAAAACCCUAGCUAGUUCAUGGCAUCCACCGAUAAGCCUGACCCAGAAGCCGCCACCAAGUCUGAGGUGUCACCCCUGCCACCUCCUCCUCCUAAGCGUGUCGACUAUUUUGCCAUUGAUGUUGGUCUUAGGGUCUUAUUGUUUGCUGCCACCCUAACUGCGCUCGUGGUCAUGUCCACUGCCAAGCAAACGGAGUUGGCUUCUGUGCCAGGAUCACCUGUCAGAGUGCCUGUUAAAGCCAAAUUCAAUCACUCGCCGGCCUUCAUAUACUUUGUUGCAGCAUUAUCUGUUGCCUGCCUGUACAGUAUCAUCACAACGCUUGCAUCCCUCGGAGUCAUUGCUAAGCCAACUUAUGCAACAACAUUCUUGCUUUAUUAUGUAUUUUGGGACGUGUUGAUGCUGGGAAUAGUAGCGGCGGCUACGGGGGCGGCUGGAGGAGUAGCGUAUAUUGGUUUGAGGGGGAACAAACAUACAGGCUGGGUGAAGGUGUGCCCUGUUUAUGACAAAUUCUGCAGACAUCUGGGAAGCUCCAUACCGAUCGCAUUAUUCGCUUCAGUUCUUCUGGUUCUGCUCAUUAUGCUUUCAGUCUUCUCUCUUCAUAGUCGGAUCCGUGAGUAGAGACAUGCUUUACAAAGUCUAAAAUCUGAAUUAUUCGUUGCCACCUCAAUUGUGUCUGUGUGUGAAAUGUUGUACCUUUUAUGUAGUUUUGUGUCUUGUGCAUAGCUGGAAGUCUAGUUUGUAAAGCCCAAAUCUUGUACACUGGUGUAAUUCUGUUUCUAAUGUUAAGCUUUUAUUUA